rnacentral:rRNA from 1 species
CAAUAGCGUAUAUUAAAGUUGUUGCAGUUAAAAAGCUCGUAGUUGGAUUUGUGGUGUACUUCGGGGGCCCGUCACUAUGUGAUGGAGCUUGCUGAAGUCGCCAUCCUUGGGUGGAUCCUGUGUGGCAUUAAGUUGUCGUGCAGGGGAUGCCCAUCGUUUACUGUGAAAAAAUUAGAGUGUUCAAAGCAGGCUUAUGCCGUUGAAUAUAUUAGCAUGGAAUAAUAAGAUAGGACCUUGGUACUAUUUUGUUGGUUUGCGCACCAAGGUAAUGAUUAAUAGGGACAGUUGGGGGUAUUCGUAUUUCAUUGUCAGAGGUGAAAUUCUUGGAUUUUUGAAAGACGAACUACUGCGAANGNAUUUACNAAGGAUGUUUNCAUUA